rnacentral:rRNA from 1 species
GGUGUACCCGCUUGAACUUAAGCAUAUCAAUAAGCGGAGGAAAAGAAACCAACAGGGAUUGCCCUAGUAACGGCGAGUGAAGCGGCAACAGCUCAAAUUUGAAAUCUGGCUCCUUGGGGCCCGAGUUGUAAUUUGUAGAGGAUGCUUUUGGCGCGGUGCCUUCCGAGUUCCCUGGAACGGGACGCCUUAGAGGGUGAGAGCCCCGUACGGUUGGACACCAAGCCUCUGUAAAGCUCCUUCGACGAGUCGAGUAGUUUGGGAAUGCUGCUCUAAAUGGGAGGUAAAUUUCUUCUAAAGCUAAAUAUUGGCCAGAGACCGAUAGCGCACAAGUAGAGUGAUCGAAAGAUGAAAAGCACUUUGAAAAGAGGGUUAAAUAGCACGUGAAAUUGUUGAAAGGGAAGCGUUUGCGACCAGACCUUUUCCUAGCGGAUCAUCCGGUGUUCUUCGCCGGUGCACUUCGUUAGGUCGAGGCCAGCAUCGGUUUCUGCAGGGGGAUAAAAGCCCAGGGAACGUAGCUCUUUCGGGAGUGUUAUAGCCCUCCGCAUAAUACCCUUGCGGGGACCGAGGACCGCGCUUUUUGCAAGGAUGCUGGCGUAAUGGUCGUCAACGACCCGUCUUGAAACACGGACCAAGGAGUCGAACAUUUGUGCGAGUGUUUGGGUGUUAAACCCUCACGCGUAAUGAAAGUGAACGGAGGUGAGAGCCCUUACGGGUGCAUCAUCGACCGAUCCUGAUGUCUUCGGAUGGAUUUGAGUAAGAGCAUAACUGUUCGGACCCGAAAGAUGGUGAACUAUGCGUGGAUAGGGUGAAGCCAGAGGAAACUCUGGUGGAGGCUCGCAGCGGUUCUGACGUGCAAAGUCGAUCGUCAAAUCUGCGCAUGGGGGGCGAAAGACUGAUCGA